UACCAGCUCUCCGAGUGGUAGGGAUGAUUAUUGGGCUUAAAGCGUCCGUAGCCGGCUUAGCAAGUCUCCUGUUAAACUCAGCGACCUAAUUGUUGAUCCGCGGGAGAUACUACUAGGCUAGGAGGCGGGAGAGGUCGACGGUACUUCCGGGGUAGGGGUGAAAUCCUAUAAUCCCGGGAGGACCACCAGUGGCGAAGGCUGUCGACUAGAACGCGCUCGACGGUGAGGGACGAAAGCUGGGGGAGCGAACCGGAUUAGGUACCCGGGUAGUCCCAGCUGUAAACGAUGCGGGCUAGGUGUUGGGGUGGCUACGUGCCACUUCAGUGCCGCAGGGAAGCCAUUAAGCCCGCCGCCUGGGGAGUACGGCCGCAAGGCUGAAACUUAAGGAAUUGGCGGGGGAGCACCACAAGGCGUGAAGCUUGCGGUUC
rnacentral:rRNA from 1 species